rnacentral:rRNA from 1 species
GCUCAGGACUAACGCUGGCGGCGUGCCUCAUACAUGCAAGUCGAGCGCGAAUUUCCCUUUCGGGGGAAUAGUAGAGCGGCGAACGGGUGAGUAACACGUGGGUAAUCUACCUUCGAGUUGGGGAUAACAGUUGGAAACGAUUGCUAAUACCCAAGACAUCUCGGUUUCAUUAGAUACUGCGAUUGAAGGCGCAACCUUUCGGGGUGGUGUCGCUUGAAGAUGAGCCCGCGUCCCAUUAGCUAGUUGGUAGGGUAAUGGCCUACCAAGGCAACGAUGGGUAGCUGGUCUGAGAGGAUGGUCAGCCACACUGGAACUGAAACACGGUCCAGACUCCUACGGGAGGCAGCAGUAGGGAAUUUUGGGCAAUGGGGGAAACCCUGACCCAGCAACGCCGCGUGGGUGAAGAAGGCCUUCGGGUCGUAAAACCCUGUCAGGUGGGAAGAACAGAGCUGUAGUAAUGUACAGCCUUGACCGCCACCAGAGGAAGCACCGGCUAACUCCGUGCCAGCAGCCGCGGUAAUACGGAGGGUGCAAGCGUUGUCCGGAAUCACUGGGCGUAAAGGGCGCGUAGGCGGCCUGGCAAGUCUGAUGUGAAAGCCCUCGGCUUAACCGAGGAAGUGCAUUGGAAACUGCUGGGCUUGAGUGCGGGAGAGGUAAGCGGAAUUCCGAGUGUAGCGGUGAAAUGCGUAGAUAUUCGGAGGAACACCGGUUGCGAAGGCGGCUUACUGGACCGUCACUGACGCUGAGGCGCGAAAGCGUGGGGAGCAAACAGGAUUAGAUACCCUGGUAGUCCACGCCCUAAACGGUGAGCACUAGGUGUUGGGGGUAUCGACCCCUUCAGUGCCGAAGUUAACACAUUAAGUGCUCCGCCUGGGAAGUACGAUCGCAAGAUUAAAAC